ACUAAAAUAAAAAAGGUAGUAUUAAUUUUUCAAAAAAACCACUAUUCAAUGGCGGCAUUUAAUCUUAUUAGAGGAACAUGUUGUUUAAUCGACAAUACACGAUUAUUUUCACUCACUCUUAAAAUUUUAUAUACCGCCAUAACAAGAAUUUAUUAUAAAAUAUAUUCACAAUAAAAAUCUAUAAAAAUAGGUAAAGGUGUAAACCAUGCAUGAGCCGCUAAAUGUGUUACAUUAAAAAUAAUUUAAGGAAAAUUAAUUAAAAUUUAAUUUAAAAGAGGAUUUAAAAGUAAUCAGUUGAUAAAAUCUACAUUUGAAUCAGGAAAAAAAUGUGC
rnacentral:rRNA from 1 species